rnacentral:rRNA from 1 species
AACGAACGCUGGCGGCAGGCCUAACACAUGCAAGUCGAGCGCCCCGCAAGGGGAGCGGCGGACGGGUGAGUAACGCGUGGGAACGUGCCUCUUGCUACGGAAUAGCCUCGGGAAACUGGGAGUAAUACCGUAUGUGCCCUACGGGGGAAAGAUUUAUCGGCAAGAGAUCGGCCCGCGUUGGAUUAGGUAGUUGGUGGGGUAAUGGCCUACCAAGCCGACGAUCCAUAGCUGGUUUGAGAGGAUGAUCAGCCACACUGGGACUGAGACACGGCCCAGACUCCUACGGGAGGCAGCAGUGGGGAAUAUUGGACAAUGGGCGAAAGCCUGAUCCAGCAAUGCCGCGUGAGUGAUGAAGGCCUUAGGGUUGUAAAGCUCUUUUACCAGGGAUGAUAAUGACAGUACCUGGAGAAUAAGCUCCGGCUAACUCCGUGCCAGCAGCCGCGGUAAU